rnacentral:tRNA from 1 species
AGUUAAUGAACUUGAAUAAGUAUAUAUUUUGAAAAUAUAAAAAAGGGGUAAAUUCUCCUAUUAGCUU